AGCAGUAGCCACGGUAAUACGUAGGGUGCAAGCGUUAAUCGGAAUUACUGGGCGUAAAGCGUGCGCAGGCGGUUAUAUAAGACAGAUGUGAAAUCCCCGGGCUCAACCUGGGAACUGCAUUUGUGACUGUAUAGCUAGAGUACGGCAGAGGGGGAUGGAAUUCCGCGUGUAGCAGUGAAAUGCGUAGAUAUGCGGAGGAACACCGAUGGCGAAGGCAAUCCCCUGGGCCUGUACUGACGCUCAUGCACGAAAGCGUGGGGAGCAAACAGGAUUAGAUACCCGGGUAGUCCCUGUCUCUUAUAC
rnacentral:rRNA from 1 species